CGUGCUAUUCUAAGCUAGUAAAACGCGUCGUAGCAGCCGGAAGAAAAAAACAACAACAACAACGAACCGUCCUGCAGUACUAUGCCGACUGACUCGAUUUGCGGUCCCGGCGGUGAGAGCGUGAGCCAGCCGCAGGGUCCACGUGGAAGGUUGCAGGAUAUUCGGCUCAACAUUGAAAGACCGAUUCUAGCCGAUCAGACUAAUGCACUGACAAGCGG